AUGUGAUCGUCUCUCGCAUAUCAAUAAGCGGAGGAAAAGAAACUAACAAGGAUUCCCCUAGUAACGGCGAGUGAAGCGGGAAGAGCUCAAAUUUGAAAUCUUAAAGGGUUUCCCUUUACGAAUUGUAGUUUAAAGAAGUGUUUUCUGUUGAGGUUUUGGUAAAAGUUCUUUGGAAUAGGACAUCAUAGAGGGUGAGAAUCCCGUAUUUGACCUUUACUUUCAACUUUGUGAUACACUUUCAAAGAGUCGGAUUGUUUGGGAAUGCAGUCCAAAAUGGGUGGUAAAUUUCAUCUAAAGCUAAAUAUUGGCGAGAGACCGAUAGCGAACAGGUACCGUGAGGGAAAGAUGAAAAGAACUUUGAAAAGAGAGUUAAACAGUACGUGAAAUUGUCAAAAGGGAAGCGUUUGACACCAGUGUUGUUUUUCUGAAGAUCAAUUAAAGAACUGUUUAUGCUAAGUUGUUUAGACUUUAUCAGCUAACUGUUUAGUUUUGAGCUUUUCUUUAAUGCACUUUUCAGUUAACAAGUCAACAUCAAUUUCUUUUGCUGUAAAAAAGCUUGAGGAAGGUGGCUUGAGAUUCGUCUUAAGUGUUUAUAGCCUCUUGCCUAUGCAGUCGGAGAGAUUGAGGUCUGCAGCGUAGAUCCUUCGGGGCUAAAUGCAUUUGUGCUAAGUUAUAGCAUUUUAUAGACAACUUGUUGACUAUGAUUUGUCUUGUAGCUUACUCGCUUAUGUUAUUUUACCUACGCUUAGGAUGUUGAGUAGCGACAUACGCAC
rnacentral:rRNA from 1 species